ACGUAGGGGGCGAGCGUUAUUCGGAAUUACUGGGUGUAAAGGGUAUGUAGGCGGCCCUUCAAGUCGCGUGUCAAAGUCCAGUGCUCAACGCUGGGUGUGCGCGCGAUACUGACGGGCUUGAGGGCUGGAGAGGCGAGCGGAAUUCCCGGUGUGGUGGUAGAAAGCGUAGAGAUCGGGAGAAACAGCAGCGGCGCCGACAGUUUACUAGAAAGUUUCUGAAGCUAAGAUACGGAGGGGUGGGGAGGAAACAG
rnacentral:rRNA from 1 species